rnacentral:rRNA from 1 species
CCUACGGGAGGCUGCAGUGGGGAAUAUUGGACAAUGGGGGGAACCCUGAUCCAGCCAUGCCGCGUGUGUGAAGAAGGCCCUCGGGUUGUAAAGCACUUUCAGUGAGGAAGAACGCCUGGUGGUUAAUACCCAUCAGGAAAGACAUCACUCACAGAAGAAGCACCGGCUAACUCCGUGCCAGCAGCCGCGGUAAUACGGAGGGUGCGAGCGUUAAUCGGAAUUACUGGGCGUAAAGCGCGCGUAGGUGGCUUAAUAAGCCGGUUGUGAAAGCCCCGGGCUCAACCUGGGAACGGCAUCCGGAACUGUCAAGCUAGAGUGCAGGAGAGGAAGGUAGAAUUCCCGGUGUAGCGGUGAAAUGCGUAGAGAUCGGGAGGAAUACCAGUGGCGAAGGCGGCCUUCUGGACUGACACUGACACUGAGGUGCGAAAGCGUGGGUAGCAAACAGGAUUAGAUACCCCGGUAGUC